AAAUAUUAUCAAGACCAGAAUGGAGUGAUGAAGUAAUCAGCCUUUUAUGACUGAAGUCCUGAGUAGAUUUAUCCCUAUCUGGGUGUGCUGCAGGUUGUCUUUAAACUGUGCUGCAGGUUGUCUUUAAACUGUACUUUUCCCAAAGUAGAGUAUGUGGAAUAUCAAUCUCUGAAUGUUUUCUGGGAAAAUAAAAGACUACUGAGUAAGUAAGUUUGGGAAGGGCUUAACCAACCAAGCAAGCCAUAAGCCAUGCUGUGUGUGUGUGAAUGCACGUUCGUGUCGGUGGCAGGGUGGGAUGCCUGUUAAAAUCUAGCUGGAUAAAUAUACGAGGGAAAACUCAUCUUUAGACAUUUGUAGUCUGGUAGGAUACAAUACAGGUUCUGCUUGGGUUCACACCCUGCUUACUGGUUCAACAAGUUACUAGGUCUGUAACUUUGGGGAAUUACUUAACAUCUCUGUGCCUCAGUUUCUUCAUACAUGUUACGGGGAUAAUAAUAGUGUCAUUCCUACAUGGUUGUAUUUGUAUUAAACGAGUUAAUAUAGAUGAAAGGCUUACAACAAAGCCUAGCAUACAGAUAUUGCUUAACAUGUGUUUUCUAUUCUUACUAUAAUCUAUGUAUAUCUACAUAAAUCUAUAUAAAACUUAAGGGCCUUAAAAUGAAAAGUGCUCCAUUUGGUGCUCAAGAUAGUGAGUCCUCUGUCUUCUGAUUAAUCCAAAUGUUAUCAUGUAGAAAGUUCUAAUUUCAGGCGGCAUGGCAAGGCCAGCCUACUGACGGUCAAACCCUGCCCACACCCCGGGCAUUUAUUAUUGCUCAAAAUCUCAAUGUGUCAAAUUUGGGGCUUCAAUUCUCCAUAUUUGUUCAUUUUCCAGAACUGGGUUUGCUUAACUCUCAGUCCCUUUCUGGAGAACCCUAGAAUUGAAGGAUUCUAGUCCCUUCAUCUGUACCCAGGUCAGGUUCAUGUGAGGUGACACCAGAUGGCAGCAAAGAGAGAUGAGCUGCCAGAGGCGGGAGUUGUCAUUUGAAAAAAAAAUCGAAUUGUCAUUGUACUUGGCCACUGCUCUUACUAAAAAUAUUUCACUCAUUUAAUGUGCCGGCUUCAGCAGAGCUGAACUUUGUCCAUUUGGGGUGUGUGCUAUUGGGGCAGGUGUCUGUGAAAGAAUGAAAGCGAAUAAAAUUCUCUUCAAUUGUUAUCACUCUUCUUCAUUCUCAUCCCAAGUCUUGUCAAAAAUUGAGUGAAAUAGGAGUCAGACGUUACUGUUUCAGUGCCUCCUCCAAACUCCAGCCAUUUAAAAUACUCUCAGCCCACAUAUUAGUGAGAGGGAGCAAUUCUCUCUGUCUUCAGGGACUUGAGGAACACCUGAACUGGGAGAUAGGGAACAGAAAGUAAGGUUUUCCUAUCUAUUUCUUGCCAUAUAACAAACAUAGCAUAUUCCUAUCAAUCAUUAUACAUCUCUUUCUCAUUUUAUAAAAUCCUGAUUUUAUUCAGGAAGCCAUGUUCCCACCCUUGUAAAACAAAUCAUUAUUGGUAAAAACAAAUUAUAAUUGUCCCAUUUCUUUUUGUGAAAUAUUUACUUUUCUAGAUGCUUUUGCACUGAAAUUAUUUCAUAAAUCAAUGACUUAUGACAUUAUUUACAAGAAUAAUUUUCCAUAAUGAAAUAAAUGAGUGACAUCCCCAUAGAGCUAACCACCACCCUGCCCUUUCAUGUUUUCCCUGUUGUCUCUUCUCUUGACCUUGGAAAUUGUAACACCACCUUACAGUCACGAAGAGACACUUCACUAACAUGCUCAACAUGGUACAGCAGAAAGCCAGAGAGAUUUUGCAUAUCUCAUGAGAUUGUGGGGUUGUGGAAGCAGCUCUGAAUCUGCUGAUCUUGGGUCUCCUAAUGAUAUAACACUCGUCGGUAUUAACGAAGUCACAGUUAGUUGGAUUGUUCACUGUUUGCAGUAUUUGAAGUUGCCUUCCCAGUGAAAUACUACACAAGGUCUCACUUGUUAAAAUAGUUGAUUGCAUCCCAAUCAGUUGCAGGUUGAAGGGAGCAGGCUGAUUAACCCAUGGGAAUGAGUACCAGCUUUGUAUCCAAACACAGUUGAUUUCAAGCCCCAGGUCUGCUGCUUAUAAGCUAUGUACCUUUAGAUAAACUACCCAAUAUCUCUGCAUCUCAUUUUGUCAUGUUGAAAGUGGGGCUAGUGGUAGCUAAGAGGAUUAUUGGGAAGAUUAAAUGGCAUUGCAAAGAAAAUGUCUGGUACAUAGAAGAAACUCAGCAAACUUUAUCUCACCUUUUUCUCUACCUUACAUCUAAAUUUAGGUUCAUGAGGGGAUUGCAGUGGUAUCAUGGGAAAACUUUCUUUGUGAAAUGUUUUUAAUUAAACAGGAUGCAGAAUCUUUUGUCUUUAAACAGUUCUAGCACAAUGUGUUCUGAGUCAGGAGGGUAGACUGGAUGAAUACUUUCGAUGCUUUCAGUUUUUGGGUUAUUCGUAACUCCUGCUCACUGAGGAUGUUGACAGUUUCUUCUAGGUUGAUGGUACUGUUCUGUGUGAGUAGUCCACCAGAUAAUUUCCCUUAAAGAUCAUCUGGGAAUUCUAACAUCAAUGAACAUAGUUGUUCAUCUGCUGAAUAGCACAUACCCUGAUUCCUGCUCUGCCAGAACUGAGAGGCUUGUACAUGCUUAGCUUCUUCUGUCUCAGAGCUAAAUGAGUCAAAGGCAGUUUUCGUCUAGGAGGGGAGCUCUGACCUGCUGUCUUAGAGUGGGUUCACUAGAAACAGUCCUUGACAUGGAGAUUCAUGUACCAGUGAUUUAUUAAGAAAGAGCUCCCAAGAGAAACUGGUAAGGGAUGGGGGAGGAAAGACUGGGAAGGGUGCAAUUUCUGGCAAAGUACCAGCCCAGCCUAAUCCUGCAGGGUGCUCUGUGGCACAAAUUACACAUCAAAGUUUAUCCAGCCCGGAGGCAACAGAGCUGAGCUUUAUACUCCCACAAAGUCAGCCCUUGGCAGUGGACUGUGUGUGUGGUAGGUGGGUGAGGAGGAAACUCCCGGACGCUUUGAGCUUUCUGUGCUUACAACCCAGGAGGCUGGAGUGGUCUGCAGGCAGCAUUCUGAAGGAAGCUGCAGAUGCAACUCAGUAGAAGCAAAGCACACCAAAACUGAUGCCUAUGUGCACAGAACAGGUUGAGAACCACUGUCCUAGUCUGAAGGAACCUCUUGUGGAACAUUGGCAAGACCCUUACUGAGCAGAAGCCUAGCACCCUGAGCAUCCAGGAGAAGAAAAUAUUUGUGAUCUACGGGCUCAGUGAAGAAUUAUGGAGGACUUCAGGAUCUAGAAGGAAGCUUUGCAUGGAUUAGAUAAUUCAAUAAUAUUUAUCAAAUCAAAGUUGGGAGUCAAAAGAGAAUUUGGAAGCUUUGAUCAUCAGGAAAGAAGAUGGAGUUUAUUGACCCAAUGGAAGAGAAAAGCCACUUUUCUGUAAAGUGUAAGGCGUGGUAUCCAAGGCUACUCUCUGGAGACGACCAUAGGCUUCACCUGGGAGUUGUGAGAAAUGCAAACUCUCAACCCCAUCCCAGACCCUCUGAAUCAAAAGCUGCAUUUUAAAACAUGUCCUGUGCACAUUAAGCUUUAAGAGGCAUGGUUUUAGAGCACAGGCUUUGUAUCCCUGGAAUCAAAGUUCAAGUCUUUCACUUAUCAGCUAUACAAACUUAAGCAAGACAUGCGAAGUUUUUGAGACUCACUGUUUCUGUGAAACAGGCAUAUUCAUAUACACUACCUACUAGAGUUGUGAAGUUCAAAUGAACAAAAAAGAAUAUUGGACACAAGUCAUGGUGCCUGACUUUAUACAGUAAGAGUUUAAUUGUUUGAUGCUAUUAUUUUCUGAAAUUUCCAUCUCUUCAUUCAGGAAAAAAUGUUGGUUGGACAACGGACAAUCACCUCCUAUCAAAUCCAUAAUUUGAAGAUUGACUAAGUCACCUACUUUGCAUUCAGAUGUUGAUAAUUAUCAAGCCAGCCUAGGUUAAAACAAGUUUUUUACCUUUUACAAAUAUAUUUUUUUAAGAAUUGUGUAUCUUGGGGACAAAACAUUAUAAUAAGGUUAAUGAGAAAAGGAGCAACACAAAUCUGUUUUCAUUAAUCUUAACAGAGCUUUAAUCACAGCACAGGGGGAAACAGCUGCUCUGGAAGGGAGACUAGGAGCAGAUCAGUAGAAGCUGAUUAUCCAUUAAUGAGAGGGCUUUGGUGGGGAGCCCUGUGGAAAACCCACCAGACUCAAUCCUGCCAGCCAUUUGCUGAAGAGGUGGUGUAUAUGAAUCGCUUGUUUGAUGUAAAAAAUUCAAAACAGAUUCUUCUCAGCAGCCUGGGGACUGUCAUACAUCACUGAUCUCUUAUCUGUUUAUGUUAAGGAAAUAGCAUCCUUCAGUAAGUAAAUGUGUGUGGUAUUUAAUUAAACUCAUUGCUGAGCUCUGUGUGUGUGUGGCUAGUCCUCAUUUGGGGAUUAUCGGACUGUUGCAUUUUGCCUUUUUUCUCAUUUUUUCCUUCUUCUAGCAUUUCUUCCUCCAGCUCAGAAUUGCAGGAGCUUUAUGUUAUAUGGAGUAUCAUGGGAAGUACUUUAGCAUUUUUUUUAUUGCACACAUUAUUUAGAAAAGGAAACUGAGGCUCAGAGAGCUGAAGUCACUUGUCCAAUGUCCUCUAGCUUAAAGAAUUAUAUUAUUUAAACCUAGGUUCUGGGUGGUUUCAUAGCCUAAGCUUGUAACCACUUAUGCAAUAUGUGUAUAAAGUAAAAACUAACUAUGGUAUAUUGCGGUGGUUCUCAGAGUUAGUCCCCAGACCAGCAGCAUCAGCAUUGCCUGGGGACUUGUUAGAAAUACAAAUUGUUGGGCCCUGCCACAGAUCUAUCAGAAACUUAGGAAUGCAGCCUGGGAAGCCCUCUGAGUGAUUCAAAUGGAUGCUAAAGCUUGAGAGCCAUUGGUAUUUAGUUGGUAUGCUAGGUACUAAGAAUUUAGAAAGACAAAAAAAAAAUCGGUUCUUUGAUUUUGGGGAGUUCAGAGUCUAGUAGAGAAGACUAAAAUAUAAAGACAAUUAUAAUAAUAUUUUAUUAGUGUAUUAUAAGUGCAGUGAGAUAGUAUACACAAAAAAAUAGGAAAGUGCGGAUUAAGAUACUAACCUGGGUGGGAAGUGAAAGCUUAUUGGAAAAUGUGAUGCUUAAACUGAAUCUUAAAGCAUGAGAAGUCUCUGGCUGCAGUGACAGGAGAAAGUAUUUUAGGCAGGGGGACAGCAUAAACAGAAGAUGAAAUGAACAUGAAUACUGUCUAUGAAACAGCAGUCACUUUGGGGAUGCUGGAGUAGGAAGUAUAAUGAAGGAAGCAGUGAUGAGUUCAUGUGGCGGACAGUGAGCUGCCCUCUGUCACUCUGCAAUUUGACCCCCACCUGCUGAAGCUCAGGAGUUUGGCUUCUUGAAGCCCUGGCUUGGAUAUUUUACAGUCAUUUGUCAAUUUAUGGCAUUUACAACUGCCUUGUGGUUCCAGAUGAGGGGCACCACAUAUCACAAAGGCUUGUUCUUCAUGAUCUAUUGAGCACCCAGUAAUUCAUGCACGUUAUUUAUACCACUCACUCAUUUCUCCUUCUUUCUCAUGAAGUCGUCCAUGCCAUUAACAUUAGCUAGCAGACAUCAAGCUGCCUAGUGGAUAAAAUGUUGUUUGACAAGGGCUCAGUGGCUAGGGAUGUAACUCAUAGUUUUUAUCAUAAAUUUCAACUCAAUUAUUUGUUUUCCCAGGUAAUCUAUCAGUGAAUAAUAUACCCACAUCACAGGACUUUGGCCUGUGAAUUUGGUCUGUUUUCCAGACCAGUAUUUUAGCAUGGGCAUGGGUGACAUUUGAGCACUUAAAAUAAAAUAAUGCAGCUACAUUCUCUCUGGCAUGGUGGAAUGAACAUGGAAUUGGGAAUAAGAGAGACCAGGUUUCUAGCCCCAACUCUGUACUUUACAACUGUGUCCACUAAAUGACAUUGGAAGGCCUAUUUGUUAAUCCUGUGAAGCUUCAUUUUUUAAAAAUCUGCAUUGGCUCUCCAAAAUGUGCCUGGAAGUUGCUGCAAUUCUCAGAAUGUCUGAGAAGCUCCCCAACAGUCUUAGUCUGCAGCCAUGAGGCAAAUAAUUCUCAGCAAUUUUCUAGGAAGCUGCUUUGAUACUCACAUGUGCAUGUUCAUCUGGCAGCCACCACCUCCAGAGAAUAAAGCUUCCGAUUUACUUCCACUUUCCAGACUCCACAGAUGUUCCUCUCCUUGGCAAAAUGUAGCCCAGAUCUAAAUGGAAGGUGAUUCUGAGACAUGUAGUUGGCAACCUUAGCAGGACAUGGUGGUGCCACCCGGUUGAUAACAGACAUCUCAGCCCACUUUCCACUACACAGGAGCCAAAUGAUCUUCUUUAAAUCCCAAAACAGAGUAUUUCACAACCAGGCUUCAAAUGACUCAGUGGCUUCCCAUUUCUCUUAGAAUAAAACCCAAAUUCAUCCGGAUGGCCUGAAAAGCUUGUCCAGCCGAUCUCUUCAAUUUCAUCUAAUUCUAGCUUUCCCUUUCAUCAUUAUGUACAGCCAAACUGACUUUUAUUCCUUUUUUUUAACAUGCCAAACAUUUUACCACCUCAAAAUUCUUAUAGUUACUGUUCCUUCUGUUUAGAAUAUCUUCCACCUUGAUUUUUCUUAUCCUUUUAUCUCAACACUCUAAAGAGUCCUCCCCCAGUUUCUUUUUGUCGCCCCUUUUGUUUUCUUCAGUGGAUUUAUUGCAAUCUGCUCUUUUUGUGUGUUUAGUUAUUAUCUGUCACACUCACUGGAAUAUAAGCUCAGUGAAAGCUGGUACUAUAUUUAUCAAUUGCCCCCCUAGUUCUCUGUCUUGGCUUAGUUACCAAUUUUCCUCUUGGAACAUAGAUCAUCAUAGGCUGAAUUUGCUGCUUCAAAUAAUCAGAGGGCAUCAGUUUUUUUAGUGCUCAAGAUCCUAUAGUUAUUGUACCAGCCUUAAUGAAAGUACAAAGGAGAUAAGGGCAAGACGUGCUCUUUGCAAUGCUUAAACAGUUUUAGUAUAUCUCAAGCAAAGAAUCCUAAUAAAUCCAAAAUUCGACAGCUUUUUACUGUUGGUGUUCUACAACCUCUCUUUCCUCUCACUACCUGGAAUAGUCAGAAAUCUCAUGUUAAUUUAUGAACCCUGAUGUCAUCAUCAGGACUGGACUGUGGACUGAAAGAAGAUAAAUACCAAUAAUAAUUACCAAAUGUUGGAUAACUAUCAUAUGCCAACAAUAUGAUAAAUUAUUUAUGAACCUCACAAUAUUGCAUGGAAAAUAAUUAUCUCACUUUUCCAAAUUAUUUUUGUAAUUUUUCUAAUUUUUAAAAUAAUUUUCUAAUAAUUUUUAAAAAUUAUUUUUAUAAAAAUUAAGAACUUGACCAAAGUCACAGAGGUUAUUUGAGGUUAAACUAGGGUUUAAAUCUUGGUCAGUUUGGUUCUAACGCCCAAAUUUACUUCCCUGUUUCUGCCGUAUUCUAGGUCUCUUUUGAUUUUAUAAUACGUUGUGUUCGUGAUAGCAUUAUUUAUCUCACCCUGUAUUCACACUCUUUGUCGUUUUACUCUGGGUUAAGCUGUAAGACUGCUGUUUAGACUGGCUUUGGCCAAUAGAAUGAGGUAGGAGUUCUAGAUCUGAGCCUGGUCCUCACAUGAGUAUGCUCACCCUCUUAUUUGUCUGCCUAGACUAGUUCUUUGGUUUAGGAGAGAAUGAGAGACACAUCAAUGCAGAGCCAUCCUCAACUAGACCCAGCCAUGCUUCUCCAACCCCCCAAAAGGCUAUACUCAUGUGAGAGCUCAUCCAAGUACAGCAGUACAGCCCAGUUGAGCCCAAACAAGAUCAAUGAAGCCUCAGGAAACCAAACACAGUCAAUAAGCCCAACCAAGGUCAGCAGAACAGUCUAGCUGAGCCCAGCCUGGAUAAGCCAAUUCCUAGCUGACUCAUACGCUCAAAAAAAUGAUAAAUGAUUGCCAUUUUAACCAUGGUAUGCCGGGGUUGUUUCUUUCACAGUAAUAACAAAUUGAUACAGACACUAAUUAGCUCUGCAAAUGUGCUUAAAAAUAAUGCUUACAACCAUUUAAUAAGACUUUAUGUAUGAGACACAGUGCAGAACACUUUACAUUCAUUAUCCCUUUAGAUCUUAUUCAAAACCUCUCUGAGGGUUUCACAGAUGAGAAAAAUUAGAUGAAUAGAAAUGAAAUAACUUAGUCAAGUUUACACAGCUUGUUUAAGUGGCAGAGUUGGAAUUUAAACCUAAGUCUAUCUGGCUCUGAAGUUGUUCUUUUUUUGUUUUACCAGGUUGACUUUAUUCAUAAUCUAGACUUCACAUAGAAAAUAAUCAGCUGUGUGAAUAUGACUGAGUUCUCUGGGUCCAUUUUCUUCAACUACAAACUAGAGGGAACUAAAUAUCUUUUUUUCUUCUUACCUUCUUUGGUUCUAUGUUCCUACAUACAAAAGUUAUUUGAGGGCAGUUGGAGUUAAAGCAUGUAUGCAGUUUGAUGAUAAUGAUGAUGACGAUGACAAUGACAACAUAUAUCACAGAGAUGAAAGCAUGGACAUACUUUUUCCAAGAAAGAGAACUAAGACAAUUGUUGCAAGUGAGUGUAAAAAUUAACUCUGAAAACUUAUAUGUAAAACAGAGGAAUAAAUCUGGGCCACAAAAUCUUCCUUUCUAAUGCAAUAAACAACAACAACAACAGCAACAAAAAAGUGUCAGCCAAGAAUAUCAAAUUUAUCAAAUAAGCAAGAAACUAGAUAUAACGUGGGGCUUCAAAGAGCGGAUUUCAAGAUCUCAGCAGAGGCACAUGCCUUUGUGCACUCUUCUGCCCUCUCUCCUAUCUCUAUAUGCAACACAUAUACAAAGGACAUCUCUCUCUAUAUAUCUAUAUCUCAUACACAUAAACUAUCAUAUAUGUGCCAUUAUAUGUAUAUAUAUUCACAUACAUAUUCCAUAUAAAAUAUGGAUUCAAUAAUUAAGAGUUAAAAUAUGACUAAAUAAGAGAAUAAUAUGAAAAAGGAGAUAGAUGACAAAAUAAUACCAUUGUAGAACUAAUAUGUAAAUUAGGAACAACAAGAAACAGAUGAGACAUAUCAGGAAAUUGAAAUUAGUUACAAAAGAAAGCUUCGUGGUAUCAUAGGAAUUGUCAAUAAAGGGCUCUUAAAAAAUAAAAAGUUCUUAGAGACUUGACAAUACAUAGUGUGGUUACAUCGAACAGAACUGCAGCCACCCAGGCAUAAAGGGAAAUUUGCUUAUAAGGAGGAAAAUCAAAUUUACCUCAAUGUUCUCUGUAGCACCAAUUAUGCCAGAAGACAAUUGAGCCAAGUUUGCAUAAUUCUAAAAGAAAAUUAAACACAGUGUAAAAGUAUAUCAAAUACAAAGUCACAGGGAGAUAUUCUUGAACAAGAGCCCUUCUUAGCAAAAAUAAUUGAUGAAAUCCUGUAAACCAAAAAGGCAUUGUGAAGAGAACUAGCAAAGUAGUAAAGAAAUAUGUGUAAGCAGUUCAGAAAUACUUUUGCUGCCAGUGCAAUUCCUUUAUCUUUUGAUAAGUUAGAAAAAGUAUUUUAAAUAAUAUGAAAUAUAGUCCAUAACAGAAAUAUUUUAAGGCAUACAGAUUAUAAGAUAGUUAUAUAAUUUUUAUUCUCAUGGCUAUAUUAAGAUAGAUAUCUUGAAUACUAUGUAAUGUUAAUUAUUAAUAUUUAUAGAGGUGGUUUUAGAUGAUUUUAUUAACUUGUUAUUUGUUGCUAUUUCUUGAUUUUUGAAAAUAUGUACAUGUAAAUAUAUAGUUAAUUCAUCAUUAUUAUAUUUAAAGAGCAGAAGAAAAAAAUUAGAUCUUAAUGUGCACAUGUACCCUAAAACUUAAAGUAUAAUAAUAAAAAAAAAUUAGAUCUUAACUUACUAUAAGUAAGCUAUAAGUAAGAGAUGGUAGAGAUGGAGAAAUAGAAAAAGCAAUAAAGAAAACUUUCUGUUAGUGUGGCAUGGUAAAAGGAGCGUUCUCCUUCUAUGAGCAUCUGUUACCUAGUAGAUAUUAGGAAAAUCUGAUUUUCCUCCUUAUAAGCAACUUUCUCUUUAUACCUGGGUGCCUAGCAGGUCUGUUGCAGGUAACCACACUAUUGCCAAGUCUCGAAGAAUUUCUCUCUUAUUAUUGAUCAUCACUAUGAUAUCACAAAGCUUUCUUUUGUAACUAAUUUCAACUGGGUCUCUUGCUUUACUCUCUAUAACUUAGUUCCAUCAUCUACAUGGGUGGGGAUAUGUUGUUACCUCAGAGUUGGCUGUAGUAAUGAAAUGAAACAAUGUAUGUGAUAAGGUCAAAACAAUUUUAUGAAUAUGUUCACUUCUCUUCUCUCCUUCCCCUGACAAGCAGGAGUGUUCUGAUUUUCCAAGACAAAUCUUGGAUUAAAGGAUAGUUAAUGGAGAAUACAGUGAAGAGAAAAUGGAAAAUAGCAGGGAGUACAGACCGCCCUUGGUAGUGGAAUUGGUUACAUGUGUUUCAUUUGUUUAGGAAAAAAUGUGUCCAAAUUACUGUCUGCAGUUGUAACCUCCCAGUUCCCAUUCAUGUGGUUCUAGGGUGGGGCUGAAAUCUGGACUUGGGAGGUGGCACAUAUCUGCUUGUCCACGGUGAUUCAGAAAUAAACAAGUGGCAUAAGUCAGAUGGAACAGAGAGAUUCCAGGGUCUUUGAAGGGCCUGAGGAAGACGAUCUUUCUCUUCUGAAUCUGAAUCUAAGACACUGAAGCCUGGAACCACUCACCUCUGCAUCUUGCCAAUCAAAGAGAGAAGCCUCCUGAGAGUGGAACCAACACAAAGCCAAUAUCAGGAGGAAACAAUUCAACCCAUUGGAUCCAGCAGGGCUCAACUUUGUGUUACUGAGCUAAUUAAUCCCCUUUUAUUUGCAAGAGGAAGAGUUGGUUUAGCUAUUUGCAAUGCAAAGAGUCCUAAUUGAACAGAUGGGAUUGUUUCUCUUUGUCUUUACAUUUGUUUGUGUAUUUGUUUUUGUUUGCUUGUUUAGUACAGGUAUGGAAGUAACUACAGUGUGUGAGACCACAGAUGAGAUAAAAAGAAUAUUGAGAAAUAUUUCUGGACACUAUUGGUUUCCAGCGUGGAACCUGCCUGAUGAACUUCAAGAAAUAUAAGCAGAUGACUAACAUUAUUUUAAAAUUAGCUUUAGUGGUAUGAAUUUUACUUUUUUCUCCACUUUUUAGUACUCUAGGACUAAGAGCCAUUGUUUGUGAUUUUAUUGCUAAAACAUUGAAAACACCAUUUUAAGGGCUUUGCUCAUACCAUUCUCUUAUUUGGGAAAGUCAUAACUCUUUCCCUGCCUUCCCUGCUGCACAAGCUCCCUUUGUUCAGACUAUGCUCCUACCCAGGCUCCAGUACCACUCAGUUCCAGCAUUUCCCCAUCCAUUAAUGCCAACCUUUAGUUCACCAAAUGGGCUCCCCUGCAUGUCCGUGGCAACCACUUCUUACGUCUCUCAAUACAUUUGCCACUUGGUGAUACAAUAGUCUCCCACUAGGCUAUAAGCUCUUUGAAGACAGGAAUUCACCACAUCAUAUUUCUGUUUUUAGUACUUAUCACAGACCUGGCCUAUGGUAGGUGCAUGGGAAAUCUUCUUUUAACCUCCUUUCUCCCCUCAAAUUCACUCUCCCUAUUUACCUAUGCUAUCUUGUUUAUUGAUGGCAUCACCUCUUGCCCUGUGGUUCACACUCAGGUUUGGCUAAUGGGAAGCAGGAGAUAAAAGGGAGAGAAAGUGAGGUUGAGAUGUUUUUCUGUUGACUUUUUCUACCAACCCACCGUGGGUUGGUAGAAACUCUCUACUUGAGGCUAAUAAUGUGAUGUAUCUAUCGCCCACCAGGUUACUUAAGGGGUGUAUGUCUGCUGCCUAAACCCUAAAGGCUGGGUGCUGAACCAAGGCCCUGGUGCCCAGUGGAGGAGCAGGUAUCCCUGAGAACCCAAACAUUUGGAGAGUGUCUAAGAAUCUACCAAGAAAACUAGUCUCAUUGCUCAAACACAGUAGACAAAGAGCGAGAAAAGUAGCUUAAAAACAGUUUAGAGACAGAAGUAGUGCAGAUCUCUAGAGCUGUCCUGCUGUAGUCCAGGAGUACCCUGUAUGUAAGUUUUAAUAAACUCAUCUACUUGUCAAGCUGGACUUGUCUGAGUCAUUCUUAGGUCUCUCAGCACCUUCCCAGUUUGGGGGUGGGGGACAUUACAGUCCCAAGUCUUUCUUGUAACAAUUGGUGUCAUGAAUAGGAUCCAAGGAACCAAACGAUGAGUCAGGAAGGAGUGUGUGCAUGGGAAAUCCGGGGUGGUUUGCAACAUGCACCAAGGGUGGAGUUGCCUGACUGCUCAACCUCUGUGGGCCACCACGUGAGUACAAAGAUGCUCAGAAAACUUUGGCAGGGACUGAGCACAUACUGUAAGAAGCUAAGAUAUUAAAGUAUGGUAAGGACAGCAAAUAUGCUGUUGUUGCAAUAAAACUGGCUCUCAAAAAUUGUUACAGCAGGAAAGGGAGAAAGGGUAGAAACUCCUGCGAAAGUUCAAAGGCAUGCCAGGUUUUCUAGAACUCCAGCUGGUUAUAUAUUAUGGCCUAUUCUUGUGCAAAUUUAAAAACUGAUGGGGCCAGGCAAGGUGGCUCACUCCUGUAAUCCCAGCACUUUGGGAGGCCGAGGCAGGCGGAUCACUUGAGGUCAGGAGUUGAGAACAGCCUCACCAACAUGGUGAAACCCCAUCUCUACUAAGAAUACAAAAAUUAGCUGGGUGUGGUGGCACACGCCUAUAGUCCCAGCUACUAGGGGGGAGGCUGAGGCAUGAGAAAUGCUUGAACUCGGUAGGUGGAGGUUGCAGUGAGCUGAGAUUGCGCCACUGCACUCCAGCCUGGUGACAGAGCAAGACUCCAUUUCAAAAACAAACAAAUAAACAAACAAACAAAAACUGAUGGAAAAUUAUGACAAAGAAUUUCAGAGCUCAAAUGGUUAAUCUGCAGCUACAGCAUUAAGGAGAGUCUUUUAAAUGUCUCUAUUUCUCUUUCCUCUUCUACCUGCUUUGAAUCUGCUGUUACUAAGCUACCAAUGUUGAGAUAAAACUCACUAAUUGAAAGAUACUUGGAGAUUUUGUUUUUCUUAUAUUGUUCAACCAGUUGUAGCUAAAAUGUAAACAGUAAAAGCUCAUUUGAAACUGAAAAGGGGGUAAAAGAGGUUUUUUAAAAAUAAAACUGUUAUAGAAACUGUUUACCCAAAGUUUUGGUCCACAACCUUCCUUGGAUUGCCUAUUAGGGAAAAGUUUAGCCAUGUGAAUAGGUCCCAGUUUUGUCAAAUAUAAUUUGGAUCCAGCUGUCUGUUGUAAAAUAAUGAGAUUUGAUGCUGUCUCAUGGAUAAAGUUCUGAAGUAAAGCUAUUGGAUCUUUGUGUGUGCUUAUACAUGUUUAAAUGUGUUUAUAUACAUGUACAUGUACAUGUAGUGUUAUAUAUUGUGUCCAGCAUGCUACCAAAUUGGCUCAUAAGGAAAUGAGUACUUAUAAAUGAAAUAAGUCUGAAUGCUUUUUAGGUCCACAUGAAUUUAAUAAUUGUUAAUAAAUAAGCUAGCUUUGAAAUUAUUGGUAAGAUAAAAAGAAAAAUGUCUUCAAAAGUGUCAGACACAUUUUUGCCUGGGUUUACUCAUUAGAUAAGUUUUCUAUUUGCUUCUGCUAGAUAUUUUAAGGUGUCAGGGUUUGACAUAAAGUUGGUAAGACCCUAAACCCAGCCCUAGCCUGAAUGAUCUUUGUGUGAUUUUUUAAUAAGCAAGACUAAUUUGAUAUUGUUGGUUUAAUAAAAAUAGCUACAUUGUCUGAGUUAUUGGCAAAACACAUGUCCACGUGUUUAGCUUUAAGGUUCUUGCUUAGAUGAAUAUCUAAUAUUUACAGUCUAUAAAAAUAAUUAAUAAAA
rnacentral:lncRNA from 10 species